rnacentral:rRNA from 1 species
CAGUAGCCACGGGAAUACGAAGGGGGCUAGCGUUGCUCGGAAUGACUGGGCGUAAAGGGCGCGUAGGCGGUUUUGACAGUCAGAUGUGAAAUUCCUGGGCUUAACCUGGGGGCUGCAUUUGAGACGUCAAGACUAGAGUGUGAGAGAGGGUUGUGGAAUUCCCAGUGUAGAGGUGAAAUUCGUAGAUAUUGGGAAGAACACCGGUGGCGAAGGCGGCAACCUGGCUCAUUACUGACGCUGAGGCGCGAAAGCGUGGGGAGCAAACAGGAUUAGAUACCCCCGUAGUCCCUGUCUCUUAUAA